AGAGUUUGAUCCUGGCUUAGGAUGAACGCUAGCUACAGGCUUAACACAUGCAAGUCGAGGGGCAGCAGGACGAUAGCUUGCUAUUGUUGCUGGCGACCGGCGCACGGGUGAGUAACGCGUAUCCAACCUUCCCUUAGUAGGGCAUAGCCCGGUGAAAAUCGGAUUAAUACCCUAUGUUGUGUCAUGAGGACAUCUGAAUAACACUAAAGAUUUAUCGCUAAGGGAUGGGGAUGCGUCCGAUUAGGUAGUCGGCGGGGUAACGGCCCACCGAGCCCUCGAUCGGUAGGGGUUCUGAGAGGAAGGUCCCCCACACUGGUACUGAGACACGGACCAGACUCCUACGGGAGGCAGCAGUGAGGAAUAUUGGUCAAUGGGCGUAAGCCUGAACCAGCCAAAGUAGCGUGCAGGAUGACGGCCCUAUGGGUUGUAAACUGCUUUUAUACGGGGAUAAAGUGAGGGACGUGUCCCUUAUUGUAGGUACCGUAUGAAUAAGGACCGGCUAAUUCCGUGCCAGCCGCCGC
rnacentral:rRNA from 1 species